rnacentral:snoRNA from 1 species
GCAUGGGCUUGGUAUUUAUGGCAAGCCCGUCCCCCUGGACUUCUCACUGUGUCCCACGGCAGAGCUAACUGUAGCCCCAAACCAUUGCCUGGCCUUGUCCACAGGCCUUGACAUGGAAGCGGGUUGCACAGUA